rnacentral:rRNA from 1 species
GCAGGCCUACGGGGCGCAGCAGUGGGGAAUAUUGCACAAUGGGGGAAACCCUGAUGCAGCGACGCCGCGUGAGUGAAGAAGUAUCUCGGUACGUAAAGCUCUAUCAGCAGGAAAGAAAAUGACGGUACCUGACUAAGAAGCCCCGGCUAACUACGUGCCAGCAGCCGCGGUAAUACGUAGGGGGCAAGCGUUAUCCGGAUUUAUUGGGUGUAAAGGGAGCGUAGACGGCGCUGCAAGUCCGGAGUGAAAGCCCGGGGCUCAACUCCGGGACUGCUUUUGAAACUGUGUUGCUAGAUUGCAGGAGG